UCAUUUUUUCAGCUAGGGUUUCGUUCCCCAAUCCCAUAGUUCUUGCCGCCCCCACCCAUUCUGCCAUCUCCGCCGCGCCGAGCCCCUCCCCGAUCAGCGCCCAGGUCCCCGCCCCUCCCCCUCCGUCUCCACCGUCUCCACCGCCAACGCCUUCUUUCUUUCUGCCCUUGGCAGAUGCCGCCUCCGCCGACGGCCUCACCUUCUGUCCACAAACAGCAGCCCCCAUAAAUUCUCUCUGUCUCUCUUUUACCAAAAACGAAAUCAAUACCGCCAUCACAGAGAUCUGCUACCAAGCGGUCCGAAAAUUGCAAAACGAUACUCUCUUGCUCCGUCAAACGAACCAGCAAACGAAUCCGCAGCCGCUCGCACCACCAUCGCUCGUCUGACUGUUGGCCGCGUCGAACGCGUGGCAGCCAGUCGCUGCUGCAACCCACCGCGUCUCCCAGAAAAUACACCCUAAGCCGCAAGUUUGAAUUUCUAUGUUGCUGCAUUUUGAUUCUUUCUUAAUUUGCUCAUAAUUUAAAUGUUGCAAGGUUCAAUUAAGGUUACAAUUGCUAUAUUUCAUUCUUUCAGUAAAGUGAUUAGUGUUUAUUUGGUUAAUGUUGUUUGAUUCUUCCCCUGCAGCAUAAAUUGGGGAUUUAAAGAAUAUACAAUGUCUUGAGAGUUUUGUGAAGAAAACAUUGGAUUAGAUUUGGAAGGAACUUCAAGAUCAAAUGCCAUGUUUUAUAAAUAUUGUGUAAUUUUGAUACAUUUUGUGGAUUUAUUUUGUGAUUUUGCAUUGUGGAUUGAAAUUUUUGGAAUGACUACAUAACAGAUUUUAUUUA